UUUUAAUUCGAUCGCUACGUCACUUAUGACAAUCACGUAAGUGUUAUAGAUGCGUUAUGUCGUAUUUCGUCACACACGUCCACGGAUUUCUUCGUCGGUAAAUCUAGCUGCAACAAACGGAAGGAAAAGAAAACAGGCUAUCCAAUCGAAGCAACCAAUUUCACUGCACUGCACGGAGUUGAAGCGAAGCAGAUGAUGAUGAUGAUGAUACCGUGCUGGAUCGAAAUCCGUACACCUAAGCACAUGAUAAUCUUCGACGGUGAAUAUAAAAUCAAUAAAUCACAUAUUGCUUCAAACUGACAUGUUUACUUAGAGGUCUACUUAUAUUUUAUCACUAUUUUCAAGCAAAAUGAUCAAAAUCAGAAGAAUCGGAAGGAUCAUGUUUAAACAGAACAUGUUUUGAAUCGAAAUCCGUACACAGUUUUUUGUCUGAAUCAAAACCCGUACACUUUUGAAUCGAAAUCCGCACACACGCGAUAUAAACUGGAUCAAAGUCCAUACAACAAUAAAUCGAAAUCCGUAUAGAUAUAGAAGUACAAAAAUGAACAUCUUUUAUUUAUAAUUUAUCUUUAAAUUUACGAAUAAAUAUAUUUUGAGGAUCAAUUGGUUCCUAAAGUUUCA